UACGUAGGUGGCAAGCGAUACUCGGAAUCACUAGGCGUAAAGCGCAGGUAGGCGGUUGGAUAAGUUUCUUGUGAAAGCUCCCGGCUUAACUGGGAGAGGUCAAGGAAUACUGUCUGACUUGAGUGUGGUAGGGGUAACUGGAAUUCCCGGUGUAGCGGUGAAAUGCGUAGAUAUCGGGAGGAAUACCUAUGGCGAAAGCAGGUUACUGGGCCAUCACUGACGCUGAGCUGCGAAAGCUAGGGGAGCAAACAGG
rnacentral:rRNA from 1 species